CCUGACGCAGCAACGCCGCGUGGGGGAUGAAGGCCUUCGGGUUGUAAACCUCUUUCAGCAGGGGAGAAGCCGCAAGGUGACGGUACCUGCAGAAGAAGGACCGGCUAACUACGUGCCAGCAGCCGCGGUAAUACGUAGGGUCCGAGCGUUGUCCGGAAUUAUUGGGCGUAAAGAGCUCGUAGGUGGUGUGUCGCGUCGGAUGUGAAAUCCCGGGGCUUAACUCCGGGUCUGCAUUCGGUACGGGCAUGCUGGAGUUCGGUAGGGGAGACUGGAAUUCCUGGUGUAGCGGUGAAAUGCGCAGAUAUCAGGAGGAACACCGGUGGCGAAGGCGGGUCCCUGGGCCAAUACUGACACUGAGGAGCGAAAGCGUGGGGAGCGAACAGGAUUAGAUACCCUGGUAGUCCACGCUGUAAACGUUGGGAACUAGGUGUGGGCGACAUUCCACGUUGUCUGCGCCGCAGCUAACGCAUUAAGUUCCCCGCCUGGGGAGUACGGCCGCAAG
rnacentral:rRNA from 1 species